rnacentral:rRNA from 1 species
GAUGAACGCUGGCGGCGUGCCUAAUACAUGCAAGUCGAGCGAACGGACGAGAAGCUUGCUUCUCUGAUGUUAGCGGCGGACGGGUGAGUAACACGUGGAUAACCUACCUAUAAGACUGGGAUAACUUCGGGAAACCGGAGCUAAUACCGGAUAAUAUUUUGAACCGCAUGGUUCAAACGUGAAAGACGGUCUUGCUGUCACUUAUAGAUGGAUCCGCGCUGCAUUAGCUAGUUGGCAAGGUAACGGCUUACCAAGGCAACGAUGCAUAGCCGACCUGAGAGGGGGAUCGGCCACACUGGAACUGAGACACGGUCCAGACUCCUACGGGAGGCAGCAGUAGGGAAUCUUCCGCAAUGGGCGAAAGCCUGACGGAGCAACGCCGCGUGAGUGAUGAAGGUCUUCGGAUCGUAAAACUCUGUUAUUAGGGAAGAACAUAUGUGUAAGUAACUGUGCACAUCUUGACGGUACCUAAUCAGAAAGCCACGGCUAACUACGUG